CGCCAUUAGUUACGUAGCAAGGCCAUUAGAAUCUGUUUAACAGUCUGUCAUCUCCGACGAGAUAGCAUKACAUAAAAACUGGCCGGUUAGCGGUGGAGUGGGAAGUCUGCGAGAACAUGCUGCCACCACCCGGUGCACAGGAGAACUGCAGCCAGUGAAAAUUCACAGGGUAGAUUUUUACCUUUAAAGGAUUUCUAUUAAAAUUCACAGGGUAGAUUUUUACCUUUAAAGGAUUUCUAUUUAUUGAGGCUUUAAAUACAAUCUUCACUGGAAGAGAAAAUCAACUUUGAUUCUUCAUAUGCGUAACAUGUACCACACUUUAAAGAGAAUCACUUACCUUAAAGAGAAUCACUUACACCAGCCUCUCCCAUCUUGUGAGUUUAGGUUUGUUUUAAAUGAAAUCCUCAAUGCUACCCUAAUUUCAUAGACUGAUUUGUUUUUAGUCUAUACAUAUGAUCAUAUGGCUGGGGGCUCAGAUUUUGUCCAGGUUUGCAGCAGCGUUCUAUUAGCUAUUGGAACCAGAAGACAUCUAGCAGCCAAUAAAGUCUGAGAAGAGCUAGUUUSUCCUUUUUCUUGUUUACCGAAGAGACGAAAAUAUGACGUGGACAUUGGGACAAGACGAGGGUCCACUCUAAGCAGUUCAUCUAUUAAAAAAAUGGCUUCCAGGUAAGAAAAAAACAAAAUAUCUCAAAAUAUACUCCUGUGUAUAAUGCAACCCCACAUAUUUGUUUUAAGAUUUUUAUGUUCAAAUAUUUCGCAUUAAACAGAUAUGGUGGUAUAAUUUUACUUUUAAGCUUCACAAACCAAAAA